rnacentral:rRNA from 1 species
UACGAGGGGGGCAAAUGUUGUUCGGAAUCACUGGGCGUAAAGGGAGCGUAGGCGGGUUUUUAAGUCAGGUGUUUAAUCCCGGGGCCCAACCCCGGACAGGCACUUGAAACUGGGAAUCUUGAAUAGGGGAGAGGUCGGUGGAAUUGGAGGUGUAGCGGUGGAAUGCGUAGAGAUCUCCAAGAACACCCGUUGCGAAGGCGGCCGACUGGACCCAUAUUGACGCUGAGGCUCGAAAGCAUGGGGAGCAAACAGG